rnacentral:tRNA from 1 species
GCGGGAGUGGCGGAACUGGCAGACGCACCAGCCUUAGGAGCUGGCGGCCGCAAGGCCAUAGGGGUUCAAAUCCCUUCUCCCGCACCA